CUGGGCAGACCUUUCUCUCUUUCUCUCGUUCUGUGCAGCCCCUCCAUGUGGCUAGCUUGAACUUCCUCAUAGCAUGGCAGCCUAAGGGUAGUCAGACCCUUUGCGUGGCAGCUAGUAUCCCCCACGUGCUAUGAGAAACAGGUGGAAGCUUUGAGGCUCCUCAUGAUCUAGCAUCAUUUGUGCUGCAUUUUAUUGUUUACAUAGGACAGGACAGGCUGGAUUCAUAAGAGAAUUCAAAAGGGCCUGAGAGGUGUGGCUUGUUGUGUGACCCUCACUGCAGACUAGCUACCUCGGCGCCUACCACCUUUUAAAGUGCUAUAAAGAAUGACAUACUAUUGCAUAGAAUUACCUGACUUUUUAUUGCGUUUUGCAAUCUAACACUUCUGAAGUCAUUUUAGACCUUCUUCAUCUCCACGGUUUAGUCAAAUUAUCACAUUUCUACUGUCAUUACUGAGAAAUUUCAUUCCAUAUUGUUCCUCUCCUUUUCAGAAUAGUAAAUUACAUUGCUAGGAGUUUUAAUUGCCCUGUCCACAUAUGUGACUUCCGCAGUGUUAUACAUUCCACCUGUCUCUGAACCGACUGUACAUGGAGACACUUCCUUCCUCUGUACCAGAAAACCCCUGUGGUGAUCAGCUUUAUGUGCCAGCAUGGCUAAGCUGUAGCACUGCCCCCACACACCCCAUUAUUCAAUCAAACACUCAUCUUGGUUUUGCUGUGAAGAUAUCUGCAGAGGACAUUAACACCUACACUCACUUGACUUUAAAAGAGAUUAUCCUCCAUAGUCUGGGUGGGUCCCAUCCUAUCAGUUGAAGGCCUAAGAACAAAACCGAGAUUUCCCUGGGGAAGAAGAAAUUACAUGUGUGGACUGCAGCAUGAGCUGCUGCCUGAGAGUGUCCAGCCUCUGGCUCAUUCUAGAAAUUCCAGACUGGCCUAGCCAGCCCCCAAAAUUGCAUAAAUCAAUUCCUUGCAAUAAAUCUUUCUUUAUGUCUCUCUGUCUCUGUGUGUGUGUGUGUGUGUGUGUGUGUGUGUGUGUGUAUCUUACUGGUUCUAUUUCUCUGAUAGAACUCUAAUGCUAAUAUAUCCUCAUCGAUAGAAUCAAUAGGAUAGAAUGAAUAGAUCAACAGAAUGCAAUCACCUCUUUAAGACAGCAAAGGCAAAUGUAGUUUUUAAGAGUAUGCUGGUAAAAUACUUAUAGAUUCUCUGAAAUGUUAAGUGUUAUCUUUAGGAAAUCUAGACCUCUUCUAAAAGCAUUUAGAUAUUAGAUUGUUAAAGUAUAACCUGUUUGGGGGGCAUUCACAUAUUUUGGAAGAAAACGUGGUGGAUCAUGGCAGGAAAAAUCUAUAGGUGACACAAUAGAAUGCAUACGUUGGAGGUUGGACCUAAAUGGAAAUACCCUAACGUGGAGCUAAGCUGACCUGAGGCACCGAGGUCUGAAUUGUAGGCAGUGACGUGCCAAGGAGUGCCAGGUGGGGUGCUGCUGGAGAACGGGGAAGGGCAGUUCAAAUCUGGGUGGCUUUGCUGGAUCCUGUCUGCUCACAGUCCCUCAUCCGCUGGCACGUUUGGCAUGUUUUCCCACCCAGUUGACUUUGGGCUUGGCAAUGUAACCUGCUUUGAACUACGGAGCAUGACCAAAUACUUCACACUCCAAGGGUGAGCAAAGCCUAGCGUGAUUGCAUUCUGUGACUGCCACUCUCUUGUUCCUACACUCUGCCUGAGAAAAAAAGAAAAAUGAGAUAUGAGAGAUCCAGGACACAAUCCCUCCUCCUCUCUGGAAUGAGACCAGAUAUGUCGUGUCCCCAUGGCCAGGAGUGCAGCUACAAAGAACCACAGCCACAGACUCAGAACAAGCUCCCAUCACAUCAGGUUCACAGCAUGAGCAACAAGCAAACCUUUCUGUUACCAGUUACUAAGAUGUGGGGUUUGUUUCUUAGGCAGCAUUUACACAGCAAAAAAAAAAAAAAAGAAAAGAAAAAA
ensembl:lncRNA